ensembl:lncRNA novel transcript
AGUGAGUGGAAAGUUCUGAGAGUCUGUGGCUCAGCCAUCGUGACUAUGUAACCAGUAUUGGUCGGUGGCCCAAGGUCUCUCUCCUUUCAGGGUUCAACCUCCAACCUUAUUUCUGCUUCCUUCAUGUUGGAAUUCACACUGUGAGAAUUGUUGUCAUCCUUUCUCUACGACUCCAAGAGAAACUUUAUACUGGAGGAAGAAUAUUCUACCACUUUGGGAUGCUUCCAAAGAAAUGGGAUACCAAAGGAGUGAACUUCAGGUCAUUGGAAGUGGCCAAGCUGGAGGGCGACCUAUGGAGACAUGACCUUCAGUUCUUCCUGAGAUCGAUAAAGCUUAAAAGAAAAGAAAAAGCCAACUCAGCUUGUGCGUGGAUCCUGGACCUUGCUCUAAUACAGACCCCGCUCCUGGAGUGUAAGCCAUGCUUGACGGCUCAGCUUUCUUGUCACUAAUGAGGUGGGAUGUGGUUGUGCAUUCAAAAUCUAGCAAGGACGAAGUGAGUGCACCACUGAUUAAACAUGGAGAGAAAUUUCUUUCCAAAGGGCUGUGUAAGAGGAGAAGCAGGAGAUGUAUGUAAGAUUUCUCAUUUGUGCAAUGCAUCCUCUGAACCACUGUGAUGCCACGGGCUGCUGAACUUUCCACAGGGGCCAUUAGGGACGAAAUCACACCGAUGGAAUGAAAGGGAAAAUAACCAAAGACAACAGCAACAGCUCAAAACACCAGAAAAAGCAGCAACACUAUAUCUAUCCGUCACUGGCCCAACUCGACAUCUGGAAAAGAACCCAGAGUAGCUGCCAACCAGAUGGCCCCUUGGUGACCGUGAAGCUGCAGCCUCUGACAUGAUAUGUAGAUAAAAGACGUCACGGGGAUAAGAGCUAGAGAAAGCUUUAACGAGAAGAGCUUAGACCAUUUUCAAAGCUCCUCCACAGUGCACGGAGGGGCCCAAAGCUGGCGGAGCGCUGGGCGACACGCUCCCGCUCGCACCAAGGCCUCGCUCUGAUGAGCUGGGCAAUUGGGAGACUGUUUGAACAAACCAAAGAAAAAUAUCAAAAGGCAAAUUGGAGUUAGGGAGAAAAUGAAUAGCCCAUGAUCUCCAAGGGAGAUUACAGAGGUAAUGACAAAGCAGGCAGGUUUUUAGAGGCGCUGUUAUUCCAAGAAAGGUAAUUUUGUUCAACUUAUUUUUUUUUUAACGGAAAAGAGGAUGAAGAGAUCAGCACUAGCUAAAUCAUCACUGUCAGAUAAAAGAUAAAUCUUUCAUUAGGAACCAUAUCUUUGCAUGCCCUUUUGACAUUGAAGAAUAUAUUUGAUGUAAGGAUUUGGGGCUUUAUCAAAACUAUAGUAUUCUAAAAUAAACAAAACCACAAUGUC